UACGGAGGGUGCAAGCGUUAUCCGGAUUUAUUGGGUUUAAAGGGUCCGUAGGCGGACUAAUAAGUCAGUGGUGAAAGCCCUCUGCUCAACAGAGGAACUGCCAUUGAUACUGUUAGUCUUGAGUACAAGUGAGGUUGGCGGAAUGUGUGGUGUAGCGGUGAAAUGCUUAGAUAUCACACAGAACACCGAUUGCGAAGGCAGCUGGCCAACUUGUAACUGACGCUGAGGGACGAAAGUGUGGGGAUCAAACAGG
rnacentral:rRNA from 1 species